CGUUAAGAAGCUAAUUAGCGCUAACCUUUUAAGUUAGAUAUUGGAAGUUUGAGCCUUCCCUUAAUGA
rnacentral:tRNA from 1 species